rnacentral:rRNA from 1 species
GUAGGGUGCAAGCGUUAUCCGGAAUUACUGGGGCGUAAAGCGUACCGUAGGCGGUUUGAAACGUCCGUUUUUAAAGACUCCGGCUCAACCGGAGAAAAGGAGCGGAUACGGUCAGACUUGAGUUUGUUCGGGGAAGCCGGAAUUGAUGGUGGAGGGGUGAAAUCCGUUGAGAUCAUCAAGAACACCAAGGGCGAAGGCAGGCUUCUAGGGCAUUACUGACGCUAAGGGACGAAAGCUAGGGUAGCAAACCGGAUUAGAGACCCGGGUAGUCCUAGCCGUAAACGAUGGAUACUAGCUGGUCCGGCUUUGCUGGACUGGCGUAAGCUAACGCGUUAAGUAUCCCGCCUGGGGAGUACGACCGCAAGGUUA